rnacentral:rRNA from 1 species
GACGAACGCUGGCGGCGUGCUUAACACAUGCAAGUCGAACGGAAAGGCCCUGCCUUUGUGGGGUGCUCGACUGGCGAACGGGUGAGCAACACGUGAGUAACCUGCCCUUGACUUUGGGAUAACUUAAGGAAACUGGGGCUAUUCCCGCAUAGGAGCUACUGCUGCAUGGUGGGGGUUGGAAAGUUUAGGCGGUUGGGGAUGGACUCGCGGCUUAUCGGCUUGAUGGUGGGGUAGUGGGUGACCAUGGUCUUGACGGGUGGCCGGCCUGGGAGGAGGACCUGCCACGUUGGGCCGGAGAUGCGGCCCAGACUCCAACGGGACGGAGCGGUGGAGAGUGUUGUACAGUGGGCGGAAGCCUAGUGCGACAACGCCGCGUGGGGGAUGACGUGCUGCGGGUAGUGUACCGCUUUCGCCUGUGACGAAGCGUUAGUGACGGUAAUGGGUGAAGAAGCACCGGCUAACUACGUG